UACGUAGGGGGGCAAGCGUUGUCCGGAUUUAUUGGGCGUAAAGCGCUCGCAGGUGGUUCGUCGCGUCGUGCGUGAAAGACCCCGGCUCAACGUGGGGAGGGUCGUGCGAUACGGGCGGACUGGAGGCCAGUAGGGGGAUGCGGAAUUCCGGGUGUAGUGGUGGAAUGCGUAGAGAUCCGGAGGAACACCAGCGGCGAAGGCGGCAUCCUGGACUGGUCCUGACACUCAUGAGCGAAAGCGUGGGGAGCGAGUCCGG
rnacentral:rRNA from 1 species